rnacentral:lncRNA from 1 species
UUUUUUUUUUUUUUUUUGUAUACGCUUAAAGUUAAAGGUAUUUUCCUGUCAUCCCUGUUUUGGCUGCUAUCUAAAACCACACAUGACAAGAACCGAUCCCUCCAUCAAUCUUAAUAAAACACCCAAAUUCCGAUCUGGGUAAAAAACAGAGAGUGAUCUAAUGAAAUGGGUUUCCAGGAAAAUGGGAACGGAACAAGUACGUCGGAGUUUCAUUGGUGGGAAAAACACUAGCUGUAAUGGGAUUCGGGAAAGUUGGAUCGGAAGUGGCGAGACGAGCAAAGGGAUUAGGAAUGCAAGUGAUAGCACACGACCCAUACGCACCAGUGGACAGAGCAAGAGCCAUCGGAGUGGAAUUAGUGUCAUUUAAUCAAGCAAUAUCCACCGCCGAUUUCAUUUCGCUUCAUAUGCCGCUGACUCCCACAACUUCAAAGGUUUUCAAUGACGAUACAUUUGGUUUGAUGAAGAAAGGAGCUCGUUUGAUUAACGUUGCCAGAGGAGGUGUUAUUGAUGAAGAUGCACUUGUUAGAGCACUGGAUAGUGGAGCUGUUGCUCAGGUAAUUCUUCGACUCUUAAGAAAUGGAGCUGCUCUGUUAUUUGUUGGCUAUGGAUUUAUGGAUGUGCGGUUGAAACAGGCGGCACUUGAUGUGUUUGUGGAAGAGCCACCGCCGAAAGACAGCAAGUUAGUGCAGCACAAGAAUGUUACAGUCACGCCGCAUCUUGGAGCGAGCACCAAGGAGGCUCAGGCAAGCACAUUACUAAUGAAUAUAUUACACAUUUUCUUUUAUAUGACCAAUAAUAUAUGGUACUCUUUAAGUCUUUAAGUUUAAUUAGUUUAUUUUAAGUUUAGGAUAUAAUGGACACAAAUUAAGAAUUUCUGUAUAUAUUAUAACCUUUUUGAAGCUUUUGGAUCAUUUUAACACAAAUUUAACAAUGUAAACUUAAAUAAAUAAAAGAUAAAUGCCAAAACUCAUCUGGUCAAUAUUUUAUUACAAUUUGAUUAUUUUCUUUUAUUUUUCAAAACCAAACUUAUAAAUCUCCCUCGAAACUUCAAAUAUUUAGAUCGAGUUAAAAUUUUGAAGAAAUACUUUCUUAAUUACGAAGAAUUAGAAUAACAAUUGCUCACUUUUUUCAUUUUUCUUGUUGAAAUUGUAAAUACAAAUAUUUUAGGAAGGCGUUGCCAUUGAAAUAGCCGAAGCUGUGGUCGGAGCAUUGAACGGUGAACUCUCUGCCACUGCUGUCAACGCUCCCAUGGUCCCUCCAGAGGUAACUAACUAAUUAACCAUAUUCAAUUCUAAUGCAAAAUCUUCAAACUUACUUAACUUAUGGUAUAAUUAAUCAGGUGUUAUCGGAGUUGGCACCGUACGUGGUACUAGCAGAGAAACUGGGGCGGUUGGCAGUACAAUUGGUGGCGGGAGGCAGUGGAAUCAAAUCAGUAAAAGUAGUAUAUAGAUCAGGACGAGCCCCAGACGAUUUAGACACAAGGCUAUUACGAGCAAUGAUCACAAAAGGUAUAAUCGAACCCAUUUCGGACAGCCACAUAAACCUAGUGAACGCAGAUUUCACGGCGAAGCAAAAGGGGCUCCGGAUAAGCGAGGAGCGAGUGUUGGUGGACGCGCCGCCGGAGUUUCCAGUAGAAUCAAUCCAAAUAGUGGUGUCGGAGGUGGAGUCGAAGUUUGCGAGGCGCAGUGACAGAGAAGGGUGAGGUGGUGAUAGAAGGAAAAGUGAAAUACGGAGUGCCACAUCUAAGACGUGUAGGGUCGUUUGACGUGGAUGUGAGUUUGGAAGGGAAUCUAAUCCUGUGCCGACAAGUGGAUCAACCAGGAAUGAUCGGACAGGUGGGAAAUAUACUGGGAGAGAAUAAUGUGAAUGUGAAUUUUAUGAGUGUUGGGAGAACGUUGAGGAGGAAAAGGGCUAUUAUGGCAAUUGGUAUGGAUGAAGAACCUAACAAGGACACACUAAAGAAAAUUGGACAAGUCCCUGCUAUCGAAGAGUUUGUGUUUUUGAACCUAUAGAUCAUGAAACUCAUUCACACUCAUUGCCCACUUAUCGUUUGUUUCUUUUAUCUUUUUUGGUGGUGCAAUAAUAAUUUAAUAAGGGCAGUUGGAGUUGUGGGUGGACUAUGAUGAAGGUUAUUGUAUUUUGUAUUUUGUAUUUUGUAUUUUUGGUGAAGUUUUAAGUAUGGAGAGAGGUGAUUAAGGUUAUUGUAUGUUUAGGGUAAAAAGCCAAAAGAAAAGAAAAGAAAGAAAAGAAAUUGGAUAGGCUUAAAUGCAAAUAAUAAUGUGGUAGUGUUGUCUGCCACAUGCCUAAGCUCAGCUAUGUUCAAUCAUCUUUUUAUAUUUUACCUUUUCGUAUUUUUGUUGACUAUUAUUGAAAUAUGAAAUACCCUUUUCAAAACUUCUUUUCUUUCUUUCUUUCUUUUUCUUAAUCAUAUAUAUAUAUUUUAAUGUUUUCAUCACAAUGAUCUUUUUUUUUUUUUCUUUUAUAUUAAAAUAUUUACGAGGAUGAACUUUCAUUCCUUGUUUUUUCUCCUUCGUUUUUUAAUCCAUCCUUUUAUUAUUAUUUACAAAUUAGAGAAAUUACAUUAAACGACAAGAAAAAAUUAAAAAAUAAUUAUUCACAACACCUUUUUUAUAUAUUGUAAAUUUGGUAAGUAUGAUAAAUGAGACAAUAAUCUACUUUUAAAUAGACUCUAAUAUUAAGAAAUGAAUAUAAUAAAAUAAUUGAUGUUUUAAUUGUUUAAAAUGUAAAAAUAUUUGCUUAUUGAUUGAAAAAUAUAUCUUUUUUAAUUUCUGUUUUAUAAUAUUUCUAUAGUUUCGAGUGGAUAUUAACAUUUAUUGACAUUUAUUUAUUAACAUAAACCCCUAAACGUAGACUUCAAUAAUAUGGGGAUGAUCAAAUUGACGAUUGUUACAACUUAUACACGUUCGACUAGUUUGAUAAUAUUUCUAUUUUAAAAAGUUGAUAAAAGUAACAUUUUUUGUUUUACAUGUCAAAAGUAACAUACUUUUAAAAAAACUUAAAAUUUUGCUUUUUUUUGUCAAUUUUGGCCGACCUCGACACUAAGGUUCUUCUUGAAUUUUAAGAAAUCAUUUCAACAUAAUUUCUCGGUCCAUCUCAACUUAACUCUGCACCAAGAUUUUGGAUUUUGUUUUUAAAUUUCAAAAUAAAGGAUAUUCUCAAAUGACCAAAAUACUCUUCGAAACUCGAAAGUUUGAUAUUCGUAAACCUAAUCCCUGUGCACAUUUGAGUCGAGACGAAACGUGUUUGCUCCCAAAAUUGAAAAGAUUUGACUGAUUUUUUGUGUGCCCAAAUUUCAAGAAGUCAUCCUUAAGAUUAAAUUUGUGAAGGUAAUUUAGUUUGAAUGAUUUCAUAGUUUAGAGCUGAAUUUAAAGUUUUGCUAUAGUGUUUUUUAUGAAAUUUGAGACGGAUGGAAAAAUAUUUAGUUGGUUUUCUGUUGUAGUUGGAUAUAGAACUGGAUUUUAAGUCAAUGAAGAUGGUUUUCGUUUGAUGAAUCUUGAAAAUUUCAUCAAUUUGGAUUUGUGUAUAUGAAGAAUCUGAACCAAGAUUGAUGAAAUUGGCUCAAAAUUUUUUGAAUGAGUCCCGAGAUUUAAGUUGAAAUUUGGAGUGAAUUGAAUAGAUUAUACAUUUCCUCCUAAUAUUUUUUUCCACCUCUCAUUGAUAACCAAAACUCAAUAAUCAUUCUAAGAAAGGAAAGAAAAGAAUACCAAAAUUUAGAAUUAGAAGAUUGGAUGAGAGCAUGAGAAACAUAUUUGUAACGACCGAUGAGUAGUUGAAAGUGGAAGUAAAGAAGAAACUGAAGCCACCAAACAAUAUUUAUAUCAAUCCCCAAGUUUCCUCUUUUCCUUUCUUUUUAUCAACAUAUUCAAAUUCUUCUAUGGCUUUCCUCCUUCUUCUCCACCUUCAUUCCCGCCAUUAUUUCUUCCUAUUGUUAUGUUAUGCUUCUCUUUCCCUCUCUAUCUCGUUUCUGCUUUGUCCUGAGAUGGGUUAGCUUCAUUAUCACUUCAAACCCACUGGACUUCCAAUACCUCCUCUUCUCACUCUUUGGAAUGCCUCCCUAAAUUUCUCUAGUGAAAUCCCUUUUGGGAUUGGUAACUUUAGCCAUUUAGAGCUAUUGGAUCUCUCCUUCAAUCGAUUUGGUGGUGUAAUACCCAUCUCCUUAUUUCUAAUUCUCAAUUUACAGUAUGUACUGUAUCUUAGUAGAAACAAUCUCAACGGUUCUAUCCCUUCAAAUCUGGGGAAUUUGAACCAACUUGUGUCUUUGCAUCUCUAUAUGAAUCACUUCUCUGGUACCAUACCAUCGUCCACAGGGAUUUGUUGCCCAAUAGUUUUAACAGUCUUGAUAGUCUUGUUGAAUUGGGUGUAAGCAACAACAAUCUCCAUGGUUCUAUUCCUUUGGGUUCAGGGUGUUGCCCGAAUCUAGAAUCUAUAGAUUUGUCAUUCAAUGCUUUUACAGGAGGUAUACCACCUUGGAUACGCAACUGAAGUCGCCUAAAACACUUAGUCAUUGUUAAUUCUAGUCUAACAGGUCAUAUUCCUUUCUUUAUUGCUCACUUAAAUGAGCUUUCAAUUCUUGAUUUCUCUAGAAAUCAACUGUCAGGAAAAAUUCCCCCCAAAAUUGGUGCUUGCAAAUUCUUAAAGGAAUUGAAUUUGUUCGCCAACCAACUCGAGGGAGGUGAAUUGGGCUUGCUAAGUAAGAUUAGAGGUCCUUCAAUUGUAUUUGAAUCGUUUGACUGGUGAGAUUCCCAUAAGCAUCCGAAAGAUUGCAAGUCUCCGAAGUAUUCUUGUGUACAACAACAACCUUUCUAGAGAACUUCCCUUGAUAAUAACUGAGUUCAAGCACCUUGAAAUCAUUUCUUUGCUCAACCACCAUUCUCCUGGAGUCAUACCUCAAAGUUUGAGACUUAUGAGUAGCUUAGUGCAAGUGGAGUUCACUAAUAACCAGUUUACUGGUCAAAUUCCACCCAAUCUGUGCUUUGAAAAGACAUUAGGCAUGCUAAAUUUAGGUUUCAAUCAAUUUCAAGGUAGCAUGCCUUCAGAUAUAGGAACAUGUUUUAACUCUUUACAGGUUGAUUUUGCAAAGGAAUAAUCUCACAGGGGUUCUGCCACAAUUUAUGAGAAAUCACAACCUUUCGUACAUCAAUGCCAAUGGAAAUAACCUGAAUGGAAGAACUCCAUCAAGUUUGGGAAAUUGUACCAAUUUCACUUCAAUUAAUUUGUCAAAUAAGCUUACAGGUCAUAUAUACUAAAUGAGUUGGGAAAUCUUGUGAACCUUCGAAUUCUGAACUUGUCUCACAACUUCUUGGAAGAACCUUUGCCAUUUUCCCUUUCAAAUUAUACCAAACUGGAUAUGUUCUAUACCACAUAGUUUGCCCAGCUGAAAAGUUAUACCAACGUUGAUAUAAAAAGAGAAUCGAUUUACUUGAGGCUUUCCAAAUGUAUUAUCAGAACUUCAAAUCUUGUUACUGCUAGAUCUUGGUGGCAAUUUGUUUGGAAGUCAAAUUCCUUCAUUAAUUGGAUCUUUGAAGAAUCUAAUGUGUUCCUUUAAUCUAAGUAACAAUGGAUUAAGUGGCCAACUACCUUUUGAGCUAGCGAGUAUGACCAAGCUAGAGUGGUUGUAUAUAUCUUACAAUAAUUUGACUGGAAGUCUAAAUGUUCUUGGUCAACUUAGUUCAUCGUUAAUGGAGCUUGACAUUUCUGAGAAUUUGUUCACAUGUCCUGUUCCACAAACAUUAAUGAAUCUUCUGAAUCCCUCAGCAUUCAUUGGUAAUCCUGAGAAGUGCAUAGAGUUGGAGGCCACUAAUAAUCUAGAUGAAUUGUUUCAUCAUUUGGAGAGAAGUGCAUAGAGUUGUUUACAAAGUUGCCUUGGGUUCAAACAGAAUUUUUGCAGUAAAGAAGGUUACAUAUGCAGGACUAAAAGGGGGAAGUCAGAGUGUGGUUAGAGAAAUUCAAACGGUCGAAAACAUCCAACACCGAAACUUAAUCAGUUUAGAAGACUAUUGGUUUGAAAAAGAGCACGGUCUAUUGCUUUACAAAUAUGAGCCAAAUGGGAGCCUUUAUGAUGUAUUGCACGAGAUGAAUGGUGAUUCAUCUGUAGCUCUAGCAUUGAAAGUUCGUCAUAAUAUAUCAUGGAUUAGCUUUCUCAGGUGUUGCUCAUGGAUUAACUUUUUUCCAUUUAGCUUUCUCAGGUGUUGCUCAUGGACUAACUUUUUUCCAUUUAGCUUUCUCAGGUGUUGCUCAUGGACUAACUUUUUUCCAUUUCGACUGUGAUCCUUCCACAAUAUGUAGAGACAUCAAGACUUCUAGACUCGGAGAUGGAACCACAUAUCGCUGGUUUUGGACUUGCAAAGCUGCUGGAUCACACUCGUACUGCAUCAAUAACUUCAACUUCAACUUCUUUUGCUGGUACGGUGCAUUGCACCAGGUAAAAAUUCAAUUCAUUAUUACAAAUAUAUUGAUGAUGCGAUGAAGAUUGUGAAAUGUGUCAACGUUAUAUUCACCUCCUUCCUCCAUGUGAAUUGCAAAAGAUGUCUUCCUCCGUGGUGGUUUUAUUUUUGGAAAAUUGUCAAAAAUAAGCUAAAAAGAGAUGAGUAAAUGAGUUUUAUAAUAGAUUUUUAGGAUAAAUAGAGAGUGAAAGGUCCAAAUUGUCUUUCAUUCAUUUUCCCUCAUUUUUCCUCAAUUUCUUCUCUUCAACCUAAAAACAAAACAAAACAUUAAAAAGAAAAAAGAAAACUUGUUCUUCACGAUGAACUCUCCCGCUUCCACUUCAACUUCGAUGCCUUCGAUGAAUGCCUCUCCGAUCCAUUUCUUCUCCACACCUCUCUAUUUUUAGUGUCGACUUCAACUCCAGCCAACACUUUUCCAUUUAUUCUCCACUCCUUUCCGAUUUCAGCGUUGUUUUCAUUGGACCUCUCCAUUUCUUCUCCACUCCUCUCCGUUUUCAAUGUCGUAUUCAUCCUCUUUGAAGUCAAGUGAGUAAUCAAAUAUGAGUGUUUUUUUUUUAUAUAGAUCAUUGUUGUUUAAGUUGUUCGUUGAGAUAUGAAAUUUUUGUUGGGCACAUUUUAGAUAUACCAUUAAAUAUGUCUAAGAUGAAAGAGGUUGUUUGGAAACUUCAUCAUCGAGUAGCAGUUGUUGAGAAUGAACUUAGGAGCCUAAAAUCAAGUGUUGAAGAAUUGAAUGUCAUGAUGUCGACUAUAUUGAACCACAUUGAACUUAAAAAAAAGGUUAGGAAGCAAAGUUGUUUGAUAUUUCCAAAGUUAUCCUUAUUAAUACAUUUUGACAUUUCUAAAGGGUGAAGAAAAAGACUGCACGGGGUUUGAAGGUCAUGAUGCGCAUACCCAAGAUGUUGACACACCUGGUACCCCUCCUUGGUUGAGGAUGCCAAAGGAGGAUGACACAAGUAAUUGGGUGAAACAUGUUGAACUUCAAAAAAAAGUUUAGGAAUCAAAGUCAUGUAAUGGGGUGAAAAUUAUCCUUACUAAUACAUUUUGACAUGCUAAUCUUGAUGUUUAGUUUAUACUGUUAUCCUUACUAAUGCAUUUUGCCUUCCAUAGGGUGUCGAAAGAGACCGCAAGGAAGAUGACACAAUUGACGUGUUGUAGAAGAAUGUUCAUAUUGGUUUAGAGGAGCCAAUAGACUAAUAAAACAACUUCACCAUCUUUUUUAAAAAAAGUCGUUAGACACAAAGAUAAAUAAUAAUAUUAAAGUCAUUUCUUUAUAAAAGUCAAUAAAACAAAACCAAAAGCAUAUUUAUUACUUCAUCAUUGCUUCAAGUGGCUUUCUCUACUUGAUUUAAAUUGAAUACUUGGUCGCCACAUCACCAUCUCACGUUGUUAAGCUUCUUUUAGCAAUAUUUUCUUUAUUUGAGCUUCGAUUUGGGUGAUUCAAGAGGCGUCAGAAUCAUUGUUUCAAGCUCUACGUUAUGGACAAUUCAAAAUAAUAAAAUUGUCAAUAAAAAAAAUCAUAUUUGUAAUCAUGAAAAAAUUAAUUAAUUAUCUAAUUAAAAUUAAUUAAUUUGAUAUUAAAGACCAAAAAGCCAACACAAAACACUUUACCCAGAUUUUACUUCCUAUACUCAAAAUUAGAAACAUGUCUCACAUACCCAAGGUGUCCUCCUAUAUUAGAAGCAUUGGGAUUGAUGUUGAGACUCAUGAAUGACCUACUUCCGAUUAUGUUAGAAAUUUUGAGUAUACGAAUCAAUUGCCAUUAUUGAAUAAAUUAUAUAUACUUAUAUUAGGUUAGUACCUCGUAGAUCAUCUUUUUAUUAUUGAAUCAAAUACGUAGUUGGCGUUCAUUUUGAGUUCUCGUUACUAUCCAUAUAAUUUCAUUAUCAAUCAUAAUUGACUUAUAAAUAUUGAUUUAUAUGUUUUAAAGUCGUAGUUUAUUACUAAAUAUAUUUGAAUAUCUGUUAUAAAUUUGGAUGUGUAAAUUUGAAUUUGAUAUGAAUAACAAUAUUUGGAUUGUAGGGUUGUAAGUAUGAUAUUGAUAUUUAAAUAAAUAGUUUAUUUUGAUAAAAGAAAAAAGUUUGAUGAUGUGAAUGAAAUUUGGUCCAAAAAGAGAGGCGGUGGUUAGAGUGUGAACAGAAUGGAAUUGGAAUGCAUUCCUCACCUCUAUGUUCACACUAUGAAAACUAACAUAAAUAAAUGAUAGCAUUUGACUAAUCAACUCUCUCUACUACAACCUCAAUUUCAUAUAUCUACUUUGGCUAAUGUAUAUAUGUACCUUGAGAAUGUUUUAAAUCACACGACUUGAAAUUCCUUAUUAAAUUUAGAACAAAUUGAUUGUUCUAAAUUGGAGAGUGUAUAAUAUAAAAGCUUCAAAGCUAAGAGUGCCUUACUACCCUCAAGAGCUAAGACUCUCUCUUACAAUAAGAAAAAUAAUAAUAACAUUAUUACAAAAAGUCAAAGAGAAAGAAUUUUCAUUCAUAGUUAAGUUUAUAUAUAUAUAUAUAUGGGAAAUCCAUCCAAGUAGUCUAGUAGUGACAAAAUUAUAGUUGAUUUAAUAUUAGACUUUUACUUCUUAUAUUUUUCAAAGGCAUGUGAUAAUGGACCUAUCAAUUCUUGACUUUCUUCUAUUCAGGACUAUAGAAUAAAAUUUAAAAAGAAAAAGAAAGUAAUAAUGGGAUUGAAUCCUAAAUAUAAAAAUGUAAUAAUAAAGUCACAAUAAAUAAUUAUUUAAAAGGAACUUUGAUUAAAUAGAAAUAGAUGGAGCAAGUAGGAAUGAUUUUUAAAUUGUCCAUUCGUCUUCUUUGAAAUAAAGGGAAAAAAAUGAAGAGAACUUGUCCCAAGCAAAGAGAAACCUAGACACUAGUGUGGUGUAAAUCACAACUACUUAGAUGCUUAAAUCAAAAGGUUUGAACACGGAAAAUUGUAUUAGCUAGAUACUUGUUUUAAAAGUUACUUGACAUUUAUAUUCCUUUGAGUUCCUAUUUAUAGGUUUGAUCCCUUAUCCGAUUUAAGGUAAUCAAGCUAUUUUUUCUCGCAUUCCUCUCGGAUCGAGACCGACCAACCCAACAUCCUUACACAACCUUUUUAGGGUUUUAUCCCUUUCUAACCAAGCUUAUGUUGGACUUGCUUGUCGAGGGGUUUAUUAGUGGGCUCAUCCUCAACCUAGCGACCAACCCCAAUCUUCUUUCGGCCUUAUCCUUCUAUCAUUUGUUGAUCUUUUCAUCCUUGGUUCUACACUCGACUCAUAACAAAGACAAAAUAAAGCAGGUAAAUAUUCCGUACAAGGUUUUUUUGUGGAGGUAAAAAUGAAACUUGUGAUUUAUGUGGAGGGAAAGAUAGGUUUGCUUGAGUCGAUCACUGUCACUCGAGAAGCUUACUAGCAAUUUGAAUCACGAAAAGGUGGCUUAAUUAUAUUAUUCUAAUUCAUAAUACCUAUGUAAGAUACUAUGUAUAUUAUAUAAUAGAAAGAAAAGAAAGGAAGUUCCUCUAAAGUUUUUUUUUCUUUCUAAUUUUAAUACUUAAUAGAAAUUGUAAUUAUAAGUAACAUUGAAAAUAAACUUUUAAUUAGAAUCAUAAUAAGAAAACAAUUUUUUUUCUUAAAUUUAAACUUUAAAUAUGCUUUAAUUUAAAAAAAGUCAUAAUUUAUAGGUUAAUUUUGGUUCUUGUAACGAAAAGAAAAAGUUAGCAGACCAGUUUUUAAAAAUAUUUUAGACUUAUCCUUUAUUUUCAUCCUUUUUCUUCUCUUUUUCUGCCUUUUUUUUUUCUUUUUAUCAUCUUCUUCUACAAUUUUUUUUAAACGGUUGUUUAGUUCAAGAUCGUGUAUCAAAUAUUGAAGAUAUAUUCUUUUUAAUUUUUAUUUGGUUGUUCUAAAUAUAAAACAUCAUAAAAAAAUCGUUGAGAUAUUAGAUAGCCAAACUAAACAUGUACAAAUAAUAACCAAAUCUAAACUAUUGUACAAAACAAUCUUAAAAAAAUAAGCGAUACGAUCAAAUCUAAACGAUAGUAUAUCAAAUAUAAAUGAUCAUGUACCAAAUCCAAAAGAUCGUAUAUCAAAAAAUGUUGGAAAAAAAUCGUUGAGAUUGAGCUACCCAAAUCUAAACUGUUAAUUAAUUAAUUAAUGAUAGAGCAUUUUUUGUAUUUUUCAUUAUGGACAUUUUUUAUUUUUAAAAUUAAUAUAUAUAGUGUAAAUAUUUUAACACUUUGUUAUAUAUUUUUUUUUAAAGAUCCUUAAUUUAUAUAUAUAUAUAUAUAUUAUAUUAUAUUAUAUUAUAUUAUAUUAUGUUGAAAAGCACUCUACACAACUUUUUGAGUGAAGUUUCUUUUUCAUUUUUAAAUUAAAAAUUUCCCCCUAAACAAAUAAAUAGGCUAAAAACAUUUUAAGAAAUUUUUAAAAUUUAAGUUUGGAGUCAAAGUGUGUUAGAUAAAUGUAACAUUAAAGAUAUUGAAUGAGGGACAAACUAAAACAAAGUGCGAAAAUAAUUAUAUCGUAUAAAACAAUUUAAAAAUGAAAAAAAAAACUCACAAACUCACAACAUAAAAUAACAAAAAUUCUCUACAACAUAUCGGUCACACUCAUGAAAAAAAGAUUUUGUACUUAAUCUAAGUGGUCUCGUGCCUAGUCUAAACAAUCUCUUAACAAGUCUAAACUAUCUUAUAUCCUUGUACCAAAUCUAAACGGUCUUGAACCCUUGUACCUAAAUCUAGAUUAUCUUAUAUUCAGUCUAAACAAACUCGUAGCAAGUCUAAAUGAUCUUGUACAAAAUCUAACAAUCUAUUAGUGAUAGUGGUCUAUCUAGAAUAGACAACUGAACAUUUAGAUCUUGCACCAAGAAGAAAAAAAAAAAAGAUGUUAAAGAAGAAUGAAGAAAUUCUAAAAGAGGAAAGGAAUAAAUCGCAAACAAAAAAAAGUGAAAAAUCGUCCGUAUUAUUCAAUAGUAAACCUAAAAUUUAUAAAAAUAUCAUAGAAUUUUUUAUUUUGUUAUAAUAGGUGUAAAUAUUUUAGUAUUUGUUAUAUUUAUGGAAAUUAAACUAGUUUUUUUUUAAAAAAUUUUUUUUUAAAGGAUGUAAAGUAUUUUUAGGUUAAAGAUAAGCUUUUGGGGAAGAGGGAGUUGAAGGAUUAAACAAUUUAAAUAAAAAUUUCAUUUUAUUUUUGAAAAGAAAGUUGAUUCAAUCACACAUAUCUAUAUAUAAAUGAAAAUAUAAAUAUUGGUUUUCUAUAGAUAAGUUGCAAGUGGAAAAAUACAUUAAGAAAUUGCGCGUUCCCACCAAAUACUAUUUAAAGAGCCUGCAACAAUCUGCCGUUUCCCAUUCACAACCAAAUUUCUUUCUCCUUUCUUCCCUCUUUCAACUCUCUUUCUUUUCCAUUUCAAACAACUUUCAAUUUUCACCAAUACCUUCCUUUCCUCUCCAUCUUCUUCAUAAUUGCUUUCUUUUUUAUCCCUCUCCUCAACACUCUUGCUUUCCCAAUUUCUCUUCUCUUCCAGUUUUGUGGGUUUUCUUAUUAUGCAGCUUCUCACCCGCCAUUUCUUCUUACUGGUAUGCUUCUCUUUCCAUUUCGUUGUUGUUGUUUUUGGUUUAACUUCAGAUGGGUUGGCCUUGUUAUCACUCCAAAGCCGCUGGACUACUCAUACCUCCUUUGUCCCUGUUUGGAAUGCCUCUCAUUCCACUCCCUGUUCUUGGGCUGGGAUUGAAUGUGAUCAAAACCUCCGUGUCGUCACCUUCAAUCUCUCUUUCUAUGGGGUUUCGGGUCACCUUGGACCUGAAAUUUCAAGUUUGACUCAGUUGCGUACUAUUGAUUUGACCACCAACGAUUUCUCUGGUGAAAUUCCUUAUGGGAUUGGUAACUGUAGCCAUUUAGAGUACUUGGAUCUCUCCUUCAACCAAUUUAGUGGACAAAUUCCUCAGUCAUUGACCCUCCUUACGAACUUGACGUUUUUGAACUUCCAUGAAAAUGUUUUAACUGGUCCAAUACCCGACUCCUUAUUUCAGAAUCUUAAUUUCCAGUAUGUGUAUCUUAGUGAAAACAAUCUCAACGGUUCUAUCCCUUCAAAUGUGGGGAAUUCGAAUCAGCUGUUGCAUUUGUAUCUGUAUGGAAAUGAGUUUUCUGGUUCCAUACCUUCUUCCAUAGGGAACUGUAGUCAAUUGGAGGAUCUUUAUUUGGAUGGGAACCAGUUGGUGGGAACAUUGCCUCAUAGUCUUAACAAUCUUGAUAAUCUUGUUAAUCUGGGUGUAAGCCGAAACAAUCUCCAGGGUCCAAUUCCUUUGGGUUCAGGAGUUUGUCAGAGUUUAGAAUAUAUAGAUUUGUCAUUCAAUGGUUAUACAGGAGGUAUACCUGCCGGGUUGGGCAACUGUAGUGCCCUAAAAACCUUACUUAUUGUAAAUUCCAGUUUAACAGGUCAUAUUCCUUCCUCCUUUGGCCGCCUAAGGAAGCUUUCACAUAUUGAUCUCUCUAGAAAUCAACUGUCUGGGAAUAUACCUCCUGAAUUUGGGGCUUGCAAAUCCUUGAAAGAAUUGGAUUUGUACGAUAACCAACUCGAGGGACGUAUCCCUAGUGAACUGGGCUUGCUAAGUAGAUUAGAGGUCCUUCAAUUGUUUUCAAACCGGUUGACUGGUGAAAUUCCAAUUAGCAUCUGGAAGAUUGCAAGUCUCCAACAGAUUCUUGUGUAUGACAACAACCUUUUUGGGGAAUUACCCUUGAUAAUAACAGAACUCAGGCACCUCAAAAUCAUUUCUGUGUUCAACAAUCAUUUUUCUGGAGUCAUACCUCAAAGUUUGGGACUCAACAGUAGCUUAGUGCAGGUGGAGUUCACCAAUAAUCAGUUCACUGGUCAAAUUCCACCUAAUUUAUGCUCUGGAAAGACAUUAAGGGUGCUAAAUUUAGGUUUGAAUCAAUUUCAAGGAAAUGUACCUCUUGAUAUUGGAACUUGUUUGACUCUUCAGAGAUUAAUUUUAAGAAGGAAUAAUCUAGCAGGGGUUCUGCCAGAAUUUACGAUAAAUCACGGUCUUCGAUUCAUGGAUGCCAGUGAAAAUAACCUCAAUGGAACAAUUCCCUCAAGUUUGGGAAAUUGCAUCAAUCUUACCUCAAUUAAUCUUCAAAGCAACAGGCUUUCAGGCCUUAUACCUAAUGGAUUGAGAAAUCUUGAGAAUCUUCAAAGUUUGAUUUUGUCUCAUAACUUCUUGGAAGGACCUUUGCCAUCUUCCCUCUCAAAUUGCACGAAGCUGGAUAAAUUUGACGUAGGAUUUAAUUUAUUGAAUGGUUCUAUACCUCGUAGUUUAGCCAGCUGGAAAGUUAUAUCCACGUUUAUAAUUAAAGAGAAUCGAUUUGCUGGAGGUAUCCCGAAUGUAUUAUCAGAACUUGAAAGCCUUUCACUACUAGAUCUUGGUGGCAAUCUGUUUGGAGGUGAAAUCCCUUCAUCUAUUGGAAAUUUGAAGAGUCUGUUUUACUCCCUGAAUCUUAGUAACAAUGGGUUAAGUGGCACACUACCUUCUGAGCUGGCGAAUCUUGUCAAGUUACAGGAAUUAGAUAUAUCUCACAAUAAUUUGACUGGAAGUUUAACUGUCCUUGGCGAACUAAGUUCGACAUUAGUUGAGCUUAACAUUUCAUAUAAUUUUUUCACCGGUCCAGUGCCACAAACAUUAAUGAAGUUAUUGAAUUCUGAUCCCUCAUCGUUCUUAGGUAACCCUGGGUUGUGCAUUAGUUGUGAUGUACCAGAUGGUCUAAGUUGCAAUAGAAAUAUCAGUAUUAGUCCUUGUGCUGUUCAUUCAAGCGCCCGUGGUAGCUCUCGACUUGGAAAUGUACAGAUUGCAAUGAUAGCUCUGGGGUCUUCACUUUUUGUUAUUCUUUUGCUUCUUGGGUUGGUUUAUAAGUUUGUUUAUAACAGAAGAAACAAGCAAAACAUUGAGACUGCUGCUCAAGUCGGAACAACUUCCUUGCUCAACAAGGUAAUGGAGGCCACCGAUAAUUUAGAUGAACGUUUCGUCAUUGGAAGAGGAGCACAUGGAGUUGUUUAUAAGGUCUCCCUGGAUUCAAAUAAAGUUUUUGCUGUAAAGAAGCUUACAUUUUUAGGACAUAAAAGGGGAAGCCGGGAUAUGGUUAAAGAAAUUAGAACUGUCAGCAACAUCAAGCACCGGAACUUGAUCUCUUUGGAAAGUUUUUGGUUGGGAAAAGAUUAUGGUCUAUUGCUUUACAAAUACUAUCCAAAUGGGAGCCUUUAUGAUGUGUUGCACGAGAUGAAUACAACUCCAUCUCUCACAUGGAAAGCCCGCUAUAAUAUAGCGAUCGGUAUUGCUCAUGCAUUGGCAUAUCUCCAUUACGAUUGUGAUCCUCCCAUUAUACACCGAGACAUCAAACCACAGAAUAUACUUCUAGAUUCGGAGAUGGAACCUCAUAUCGCCGACUUUGGUCUUGCAAAGCUAUUGGAUCAAACUUUCGAACCCGCGACUUCAUCUUCUUUUGCGGGUACAAUUGGCUACAUUGCACCAGGUAUCAUUCUACACAUAUAUUGCAAAUUAACUCUGCAUUCUCAUGUGUUUUUGUUUUGGGUGGAUUGAAUUGUGUUGUGAUAUGUUUAUGUGGUUGUGACAGAGAAUGCAUUUUCAGCAGCAAAGACCAAAGCCUCAGAUGUGUACAGUUAUGGGGUGGUUUUACUGGAGCUGGUGACGGGAAAGAAGCCAUCAGAUCCAUCAUUUAUAGAAGUCGGGAAUAUGACGGCUUGGAUUCGGUCGGUUUGGAAGGAGAAGAGAAUGAAAUAGAUAGAAUUGUUGAUCCAAGGCUUGAGGAAGAACUUGCUAAUUUGGAUCAUAGGGAGCAGAUGAAUCAGGUGGUUCUUGUGGCUUUGAGAUGCACAGAAAACGAGGCUAACAAAAGACCUAUAAUGAGAGAGAUUGUGGAUCACUUGAUUGAUUUAAAGAUCAGUCGUUAGAGCACACAUGACUAACCAUGCUUUUUCCUUCUACCCUAAACAUUUCUUACAAAUAACCGAAUGUGAUCGUUUAUUAUUAGGAUAGUAUAAUAGUGUCCAUCACUAUAUUUUUGUAUUUUUGUAUAUUGCUGGUCCGUAUAUAUUUAGUGUAUGUUUGAGAACGUUUUGAAGUAAUUUUGAAGGGUAUCAUGUUAAUCGAUCUAAUCUUUUAUUUUAUACUUUUGAAUGCAAUUUUUCUUACAUCAAAAUUGGUUUUAAAUGACAAUAAAACAUGUUUAAGAUGAUUUCAAAAAUGACAAAAAUGAUUUUAAUCAUUUUAAAUUAUUAUUUUUCUUUCCUCUCAUAUUCUAAUACAAGAAAGUAACAUUGAUCAUUUGAAUAAAAGUUUUUAAUUUCCUCCCAUAUUUAAUCUAGUUUUUUCUCUAGUGUUCAUUCAUUUUUGUGUAAAGAAAAUUUCAUAAAAGUGAGAGUAGAACGUAAUUAUAAUCGACUUUGAAUUUAGAAGUUAUAAUCGACUUUGAGUUUAGAAGUUUCAACUUCUCUACUUCACAUAUUAUACAAAGAAGUUAAAAGAAAAAAAAACUAUCAUUUAAUUUGAAUGCACCAAAAUGAACAUAAAUGAAUUGACAUAAUGUUUGUACUACCAACUUUGAAAUUAAAGAUUCAAUUUCUUCUCCACACAUAAUGUUUGUAUUACCAUAACUAGCAUUAAUCUAUUAUAAGAAAAAUAUAAUAAUAAUAACCAAAAGUCAUCAAAAGAAAAUAAUUUUGUUUCUAUUUAAAUAAAAAUAAGCAGGUAAUAAAUAAUAAAAUGAACAAAUAUAUUAGUCAUAUUUUUGAAAGGCAUACGAUAUAAACCAUUCAAUUCUUCAUAACAAAAUUUUGACUUUAUACCUAUACACAAAAUAAUUAUAUAUUGUAAUAAAAUCAACGUUUAAGCUUUGGUUUUCCUUUUCUAAAAUUGUCUCCCAAAUAAUUAUUUUAAAACAACUUUAAUUUUUAAAAAAUAUUUAGACAAUAAAAUAGAGACAAUAAAUAAAUAAAUAUAUAUAUAAAUUCUAACCGUGUUUAGGAUUGUUUUUUAAUAUAGCAAAAUAAACUAAAAUAUUUAUCAAAUAUAAUAAAAUUUCAUAAUUUGUCAAUGUCUAUCAUUAUUUAUCAUGAAUAGAUUUUGAAAUUUUACUAUAUUUUCAGAUAUCUUCAACGGUUUUAUCAUUUAAAAUAAUUUAAACUACGAAAGUUUAUUCUAGGGUGGGCUCAAAUUUUGAAUGUGUUAAAUCUAAAUUUGAAGAUUGGUAGAUAAAAUUGUUUAAAUUUGAAAGUUGAAAUGUUAGAAAAAAAAAUGGUUGAUUUGAUGGACAAAUGUGUUAGGAAUGAUGUGAACUGAAAAUGGUAUUAAUUUAAGAUUUUAGUUUAUAUAAUGCUGAGAUAUAAAUAAUUAUUUUUGAAAGGAUUUGUUUGAAAAUGAAAAAGGUUAGUACGAAACGUCAUGAGAGUGGAUGAUAAAACAAAAUUUCAAAUUUGUAGACUCAAACAGUUUCUUUUGAGUACAACAACUACAGAGGAGGAUUCCGACUUUCCAACCAUAUUAAUUACCGCUAACCUUAGAGUACCAAAAACUAACUUCACACCUUCAUCCAAGGGUUUGAUUUUGAGUUUCGGUGUUCCAUCCCAUCCUUAAACUUUCGAUUCUUCAACCUUUCGGUCCCUAAUUUCUUUCUCUAUAUCCUCCACUCUCGUCUCUGCUGCAAUUCAUGUGCCUUUUGUUGUUAUGCAGCUUCAUUCCCGCCAUUUCUUCCUGCUGGUAUGCUUCUCUUUCCAUCUCUAUGUUGUUUUUGCUUUAACCUCUGAUGGUUGGCUUUAUUAUCGCUCCAAAGCCGCUGGACUUCUCACACCCCUUUUAUCCCUCUUUGGAAUGCUUCUGAUUCCACUCCCUGUUCUUGGGCUGGGAUUGAAUGUGAUCAAAACCUUCGUGUCAUCACUUUCAAUCUCUCGUAUAAUGUUUCGGGUCCGCUUGGACCUGAAAUUGCACGUUUGACCCACUUGCGUACUAUUGCUUUGACCGCCAACCGUUUCUCUGGUGAAAUUCCUUAUGGGAUUGGUAACUGUAGCCAUUUAGAGUACUUGGAUCUCUCCUUCAACCAAUUUAGUGGACAAAUUCCUCAGUCAUUGACCCUCCUUACGAACUUGACGUUUUUGAACUUCCAUGACAAUGUUCUAACUGGUGCAAUACCCAACUCCUUAUUUCAGAAUCUUAAUUUGCUGUAUGUGUAUCUUGGUGAAAACAAUCUCAACGGUUCUAUCCCUUCAAAUGUGGGGAAUUCGAGUCAGCUGUUUCAUUUGUAUCUGUACGGAAAUGAGUUUUCUGGUUCCAUACCUUCUUCCAUAGGGAACUGUAGUCAAUUGGAGGAUCUUUAUUUGGAUGGGAACCAGUUAGUGGGAACAUUGCCCGAUAGUCUUAACAAUCUUGAUAAUCUUGUUAAUCUGGGUGUAAGCCGAAACAAUCUCCAGGGUCCAAUUCCUUUGGGUUCGGGAGGUUGUCAGAGUUUAGAAUAUAUAGAUUUGUCAUUCAAUGGUUAUACAGGAGGUAUACCUGCCGGGUUGGGCAACUGUAGUGCCCUAAGAACCUUACUUAUAAUAAAUUCCAGUUUAACAGGUCAUAUUCCUUCCUCCUUUGGCCGUCUAAGAAAGCUUUCACAUAUUGAUCUCUGUAGAAAUCAACUGUCUGGGAAUAUACCUCCUGAAUUUGGGGCUUGCAAAUCCUUGAAAGAAUUGAAUUUGUACGUCAACCAAUUUGAGGGACGUAUCCCUAGCGAACUGGGUUUGCUUAGUAAAUUAGAGGUCCUUCAAUUGUUCUCGAACCAUUUGAUUGGUCAGAUUCCUAUUAGCAUUUGGAAGAUUGCAAGUCUCCAACAUAUUCUUCUGUAUAACAACAAUCUUUCUGGGGAACUUCCAUUGAUAAUAACUGAACUCAAGCACCUCAAAAACAUUUCUUUAUUCAACAAUCAGUUUUCUGGUGUCAUACCUCAAAGUCUGGGACUCAACAGAAGCUUAGUGCAAGUGGAGUUAACUAAUAACAAGUUCUCUGGUCAAAUUCCACCUAAUCUAUGCUUUGGAAAGACAUUAAGGGUGUUAAAUUUAGGUUUGAAUCAAUUUCAGGGUAGCAUACCUUCAGAUAUUGGGACUUGUUUGACUCUUCAGAGGUUGAUUUUGAGAAGGAAUAAUCUAACAGGAGUUUUGCCAGAAUUUAUGAGAAAUCAUGGCCUUCAGUUCAUGGAUGCCAGUGAAAAUAACCUCAAUGAAAAAAUUCCGUUAAGUUUGGGCAAUUGCAUCAAUCUUACCUCAGUUGAUUUGUCUAGGAACAAGCUUACAGGUCUUGUACCGAAUGAGCUGGGAAACCUUGUGAAUAUCCAAAGUUUGAGCUUGUCUCACAACUUCUUGGAAGGACCUUUGCCACCCUCGCUGUCAAAUUGGACCAAGUUGAAUAAUUUUGAUGUAGGAUUCAAUUUAUUGAAUGGUUCUAUAUCUCAUAGCUUGGCAGGCUGGAAAGUCAUAUCCACAUUGAUUUUAACAGAGAAUCAAUUUACUGGAGGCAUUCCAAAUGUAUUAUCAGAACUUGAAAGCCUUUCAGUGCUAGAUCUUGGUGGCAAUUUGUUUGGAGGAGAAAUUCCUUCAUCUAUUGGAGGUUGGAAGAAUAUGUUUUAUUUCCUGAAUUUCAGUGACAAUGGGUUAACUGGCCAAAUACCUUCCGAGCUGAAAAAUCUGAUCAUGGUUGAGAAUUUAGAUAUAUCUCACAAUAAUUUGACUGGAAGUAUAAGAGUUCUUGGUGAACUAAGUUCGUUGUUAGUUGAGCUUAACAUUUCAUAUAAUUUCUUCACGGGUACUGUGCCACCAACAUUAAUGAAGUUUCUGAAUUCUCAUCCCGCAUCGUUCUUAGGUAACUCUGGGUUAUGCAUCAGCUGUGAUGAAACAGAUGGCUUAAUUUGCAACAGAAGUAGUAGUAUCAAAACUUGUGCUAGUCAUUCAAGCUCUCGGCUUAAUAAUACUCAAAUUGCAAUGAUAGCUUUUGGAUCUUCACUCUUUAUUGUUUUUCUGCUCCUUGGGUUGGUUUAUAAGUUUGUUUACAUCAGAAGAAACAAGGAUACUUUUGACACCUUUGCUGAAGUAGGAACAACCUCUUUGCUUGUCCACAAGGUAAUAGAGGCCACCGAUAACCUAGAUGAGCGAUUCAUCAUUGGGAGAGGAGCACAUGGAGUUGUUUAUAAGGCAUUACUAGAUUCGAAGACAACUUUUGCUGUAAAAAAGCUAACAUUUGGAGGAUGUAAAGGGGGAAGCCAGAGUAUGAUUAGAGAAAUUGAAACUGUUGGCCGCAUCAAACAUCGAAACCUGAUUGCUUUGGAAGAUUGUUGGUUUGGAAAAAGACCAUGGUUUACUUAUUUACAGAUACCAGGCUAAUGGGAGCCUUGAUGAUGUGUUGCAUCAGAUGAAUCCAGCUCCAUUUCUACCAUGGGAAGUUCGUUAUAAUAUUGCCAUUGGUAUUGCACAUGGAUUGAUAUAUCUUCAUUACGAUUGUGACCCUCCUAUAAUACACCGUGACAUUAAACCGCAGAAUGUACUUCUAGAUUCGGAGAUGGAGCCUCGUAUUGCUGAUUUUGGUCUUGCAAAGUUGCUCGACCAAACUUCUGCACCAGCAGUUUCAUCCUUGUUUGCUGGAACAAUUGGCUAUAUUGCACCAGGUAUCAUUCUACACAUACAUUAUCAUGUUUUUGUUUUGAAGUAUCGAAUUAUUUGUUGAUCCAUUAUGGGCUUGUGACAGAGAAUGCGUUCUCAGCAGCAAAAAACAAGGCUUCAGAUGUUUACAGUUACGGAGUUGUUUUACUCGAGCUGAUAACGCGAAAGAAGCCAUCAGAUGCAUCAUUUACUGAGGUGGGGAGUAUAACUGCUUGGGUUCGGUCGGGUUGGAACGAGACUGGAGAAAUAGAUAGUAUUGUUGAUCCAAUGCUUGUGGAAGAACUUUUAGAUUCUGAUCGAAGGGAGCAGAUUAAGAAGGUGAUUUUGUUGGCUUUGAGAUGCACAGAAAAGGAUCCUAACAAGAGACCUAUUAUGAUAGAUGUUUUGAACCAUUUGAUUGAUUUGAAGAUAAACCAAUCGAGAGUAUUUUUGGAUUGAACAAAGACAAGUGUUUCCAAAACAAUUUUAUUUUAAAUUGUUUUUAGUUUUGAUAAAAUAAAUAAACAAACUUCGAAAGUUUUUCAAAAACUAUUUUGAAUGCUUAAAAAAAUACUUCAAAUAUUUUUUUUGUGCUUGUACGUAAUCUCGUAUUGUAGUUCUUGGCAUUGUAAAUACUUGAAGGCUGGUUUUAGUCUCCCUUAGUUAGACUAAAAGUUUGUCACCUAAGACCAAGAUUUGCAGUGGCAAAACUUGAAUUCCAAAGUAGAAUUCAUUGUUAGAAAAAAAAAAAAUGCUGCAAUUACAAUGAAAGUUAUAUUGAAGAUUAAUACAAAACUUGAAAGCCUUUGUAGAUGUAAUUUUCAUAUAUAAUAAGUGGAGGAGUGUCGCACAGCUCCCACUACUUGUUAAUAUUCAUAGAAAUCAAUUAGCUCAGUGAACAAAGAAAGCAAUGAAAAAAGAUGAACAAAAAAUUUAUAACUGUAGAAGGUACUCUGUAGUACACAUAAUAACUACAAAAAGGGAAAGAAAAGGGGAAUAAAGAAUAAAGGCAGCAUAGAAUUGCCACUUGUUUGUGGACACUAACAUAUAAAACAACAGAUCCCUCUUUCUAGUAAGAGCAAGAUAUAUCAAAGUUCUAAAUAAAAAAGAAGAGUAAAAGAAAGGAAAAGAAAAUGGCAAUGGCAAUGGCAAUGAGUUCGAAUGGCCGCAAAUAAGGGCAAUACAGUGGGUGGUUAAAACAAAAUUUUAAUAGUAAAAACUUCAAAUAUUAUUCAUCAAAUUUGAAUGUUCAUGAGCCUCCCUUCUGUUUCAAAGUGAUCUUAUCACCAAGACUGAGAGCAAUACCUUGAGUCUUGCUUCUUAUCCUGAUGUAUCCACUUAACUUGCUGUCUACUUGUUUUUCAAUGCUCACAUUCACUAAUGCAUCUUCUCCAAAAACACUCUUUGCGUAAAGGUUAGCAGCAAGAAAACCACAUUCACCUUCUAAUGCCGAUCUGAUGCCCAAAAAACAAACGACAGUAUUACACAAGCAUGCACAUAUACAAAUCUCCCUAAAAUAAAUCCAGUAUGUAACUGCUGUUUAAAUAUGACAUGAAAAAAUCUCUAUCUUUUAGUUUUCUCAUCAUCUUUCACAAUUCAUAUAUAGUAGAAGCACAACCAAAGCAAGGAAUGGAUAUCAAAUAGGUAGUUGCAAUAGAGCAAGUUCCAGCGGAAAGGAACUUUAAAUUAGAAGGGAUUGGAGUAGAAGUACCAGAGUACAACUAAACAGUCCUAUUGUGUUAGGUGUCCUGUCCACAUAAGCAUAAAGCAUCCAAAGGUAAACGAGAAAGACUAGACCAAAGGAUCUUACAUUGGUGUCAAGCACUUCAUAUUCGUUGACUUCAUAAUGUGGUUUAGGAAUUCCUUCUCAUCUUGAAUUAUUGUAUUCACAGCGACCUGCAGUCGAAAAGAACCAUAAUCAAAAUUUAUUGUAUGACGGUUGCUUUAAUAUCAGUAAAUAGGAAAAAGAAAGUUCAUGUUAAAAAUGGAAUAUAUAUGAAGUGAGAUAAGCAGUCCAAUUUCUACAACGCAAGUAAUGGUGGAAGCCGUACUCAAGGAUGGAUACUCAAAAUUAAAGAAAAAUGGGCAUUUCUUCUCCAUAUCCCUUACAAGGCAACCUGCAUCUGCUGGUUAGCACAAUUAUGGGGAUCUCAUAUGGAGUGGAUCAUAUACCAAAAAGAUCAAAAUUUUCACUUGGGAGAACUGUACUAAGGAUGUCCUUCAGAGAAAAUCCUCCUGGAUCAGCAUUUCUCCAGCAUGCAUGCAGUCCUGUAUAUAUGAGGAAUAUCGAAACUCAAAUUGCCUAUUCAGUAGCUGUUCUUUUUGCAAAUAAUUCCUGGAGCUUUGACUUCUCUAUCUUUGGCUGGAAUAUUGUCCGCGCAGGUGAAAUCUUCUCCCCACUACCUAUCUUGUAUUUUGCUUGGUCACCCAUUCGAAGACACAAAAAUGCCCUUUAGCUGAACUUCAUGCGGGCUUUCCCAUGGAGUAGUAUGGCAUGAAUGCAAUAAUUGCAUCUUCAACAACAAGAAACAAGACUGUCCGUUCUUUAUUGACUCCAUUACUAUUUUACCUUUAUCAUGGAAAAGUUAAAACAACCUUUUUUUAUCUACAAUUUAUUCACACUCAUAUCUCAAUGGCCUAGGCUUUUGUAACUAUCUCUUGGUAGACCUUUUGUAUACAUUUUCCUGAAUAGAUGAAUUUGUUUUAUUUCCCAACCAGUGUUUUUUUAAAUACCCAAGGCACACUAAGGCACAAUGGUCAUUUGGAGCCUACGUGCAAAGCGAACUAAACGAGUUUUUUUUUUUUUUUUUUUUGUGAGGUGCACUACAUAUAAAAAUAUUACAUUAAAAAGAGAAAGCAUAGUUGAAGUGGAAAUAUGGAAAGAAAAAAAAGACCUCAAACACAAGAAUUUUUGCAUUUAGGCUUACUAACUUGAAAUUUUUAGUUAAUAAAUAAAGAAAACCCUUAAUUAUUACUAUGUUUUUUAAAAAAAUGAGAAAGCCCCAAAACCCAAGAUUUUAAGCCUUGAGGCUUUGCAAAUGGCCCAUGCCUAAGGCGGCCCUUAUUUUGUGAGCAAAGGCGAGGCGCUAGACGUACGCCUGAGAAGGCUUUUUAAAACACUGUUCCUAACCAAAAAAAAAAACACACACACAUGCAAACAAACAAAGUUCAAUAUUUUCGUCAAAACAGAUCAGAGAGUGCAUAAUGUCAAAACAACAGACUGUGAACUGGAAUAAUACUGAAAACAGGGAUUGGUACUCGAGGCUUAGAAAGAAUCUUAAAGAUGAUAAAAUUGAUGAAUGUGCUUUUAUUCACACAUUUUUAUAUCUAAUAUUUGAACCAGUGCUUUGGAAGGGCUUUUUCAGCGGAAAAAUUAAGUUCAUUUUAUGGGAAAUUAGUCAGGGUAGCCUUAAAAUGUUGAUCACCUCCAAAGGUAAAUGCAUUAUUUCACUCACC